AGUGAACGCUGGCGGUAGGCCUAACACAUGCAAGUCGAACGGCAGCACAGUAAGAGCUUGCUCUUACGGGUGGCGAGUGGCGGACGGGUGAGGAAUACAUCGGACUCUACUUUUUCGUGGGGGAUAACGUAGGGAAACUUACGCUCAUACCGCAUACGCCCUACGGGUGAAAGCAGGGGAUCUUCGGACCUUGCGCGAUUGAAUGAGCCGAUGUCGGAUUAGCUAGUUGGCGGGGUAAAGGCCCACCAAGGCGACGAUCCGUAGCUGGUCUGAGAGGAUGAUCAGCCACACUGGAACUGAGACACGGUCCAGACUCCUACGGGAGGCAGCAGUGGGGAAUAUUGGACAAUGGGCGCAAGCCUGAUCCAGCCAUACCGCGUGGGUGAAGAAGGCCUUCGGGUUGUAAAGCCCUUUUGUUGGGAAAGAAAAGCAGCAGGUUAAUACCCCGCUGUUCUGACGGUACCCAAAGAAGAAGCACCGGCUAACUUCGUG
rnacentral:rRNA from 1 species